rnacentral:rRNA from 1 species
GACGAACGCUGGCGGCGUGCUUAACACAUGCAAGUCGAACGGAAAGGCCCUGCUUUUGUGGGUUGCUCGAGUGGCGAACGGGUGAGUAACACGUGAGUAACCUGCCCUUGACUUUGGGAUAACUUCAGGAAACUGGGGCUAAUACCGGAUAGGAGCUCCUGCUGCAUGGUGGGGGUUGGAAAGUUUCGGCGGUUGGGGAUGGACUCGCGGCUUAUCAGCUUGUUGGUGGGGUAGUGGCUUACCAAGGCUUUGACGGGUAGCCGGCCUGAGAGGGUGACCGGCCACAUUGGGACUGAGAUACGGCCCAGACUCCUACGGGAGGCAGCAGUGGGGAAUAUUGCAAAAUGGGCGGAAGCCUGAUGCAGCAACGCCGCGUGCGGGAUGACGGCCUUCGGGUUGUAAACCGCUUUCGCCUGAGACGAAGCGUGAGUGACGGUAAUGGGUAAAGAAGCACCGGCUAACUACGUG